AAAUGAAUAGACGGGGGCUCACACAAGCGGUGGAGCAUGUUGCUUAAUUCGAGGCAACGCGAAGAACCUUACCUGGGUUUGACAUGCAUGGAUCAACUCGGUGAAAGCCGAGCCACAGUCGCAAGACCGGAACAUGCACAGGUGCUGCAUGGCUGUCGUCAGCUCGUGCUGUGAAGUGUCGGGUUAAGUCCUCUAACGAGCGCAACCCCUGUCGUUAGUUGCUCACGGGUUAUGCCGAGUACUCUAACGAGACUGCCGCUGUAAAGCGGAGGAAGGUGGGGAUGACGUCAAGUCCUCAUGGCCCUUACAUCCAGGGUUGCAAACGUGCUACAAUGGCGCGUACAAAGCGAAGCGAGGCCGCGAGGCGGAGCAAAUCGCAAAAAGCGCGCCCCAGUUCGGAUUGCAGGCUGCAACUCGCCUGCAUGAAGUCGGAAUCGCUAGUAAUCGGAGAUCAGCUACGCUCCGGUGAAUGUGUUCCUGAGCCUUGUACACACCGCCCGU
rnacentral:rRNA from 1 species